GCAAGUCACUAGAUCAUCUUUCCCAUUAUAUCCUCAUAAAAAAUUGAAAAAUUAUAAACUAGAUAAAGAGGAAGAGGUAUGAGAAUUAGAAUUAAGUUGUGUCUCCAUGUAAAGACUACUCAUUCAAGAAAUCCUGUGUCUAAACUCAAGCCAGUUCCCCCCCCCUGGUCCAGUCCUGAGCUCUCCAGUUGCUUGCGCGACACGUAUAAA
rnacentral:lncRNA from 1 species